AGAAUCACUAGGCGCCGGCGCCUCCGAGGCAGUGUGUUUCCGCCCAGAGCUGGAGUCUCCCAGCUGCCAGCCGACCCCGAACCCGCACUCCCGCCAACCGCGCUUUUUGUGGGCGGUCGGAAACCACAGCCUCCGUUGGAUAUGUUCGGUGCAUGUUAUAAACAACCACUUAAACCCUCCGGAUCUGAGCCUCCCGCAGAGGAAUGCAGAAUGACGCCACGGCACGCAGGAUGUGAUGUCACCGAGAUGCAGAGGAUACUCAGUCAACCAACAUUUACUGAGCAUCUACUUCGUGCCGUCUUGUCAACGGAAAGGGGUCCCUAUCCAGACCCCAAGAGAGCAUUCUUGGAUCUCUUGCAAGAAAGAAUUUGAGGCGAAUCCAUAGAGUAAGCUUAGUGAUGUGUGUCAGACCUCUGAGCCCAAGCAAAGCCAUCAUAUCCCCUGUGACCUGCAUGUAUACAUCCAGAUGGCCUGAAGCAAGUGAAGAAUCACAAAAGAAGUGAAAAGGGCCGGUUCCUGCCUUAACUGAUGACAUUCCACCAUUGUGAUUUGUUCCUGCCCCACCUUAACUGAGCGAUUAACCUGUGAACUUCCUUCUCCUGGCUCAGAAGCUUCCCCACUGAGCACCUUGUGACCCCCGCCCCUGCCUGCCAUAGAACAACCCCCUUUGAUUGUAAUUUUCCUUUACCUACCCAAAUCCUAUAAAACGGCCCCACCCCUAUCUCCCUUCGCUGACACUCUCUUUGGACUCAGCCUGCCUGCACCUAGGUGAUUAAAAAGCUUUAUUGCUCACGCAAA
rnacentral:lncRNA from 1 species